rnacentral:rRNA from 1 species
UACGUAGGCAGCAAGCGUUUGUUCGGAGUUACUGGGCGUAAAGGGUGCGUAGGCGGCUUGGUAAGUGUGGUGUGAAAUCUCCCGGCUCAACUGGGAGGGUGCGCUACAAACUGCCGGGCUAGAGUGCGGGAGAGGAGAGUGGAAUUCCUGGUGUAGCGGUGAAAUGCGUAGAUAUCAGGAGGAACACCGGUGGUGUAAACGGCUCUCUGGACCGUAACUGACGCUGAGGCACGAAAGCCGUGGGUAGCAAACAGG